rnacentral:Y_RNA from 1 species
GGCUGCUCCCAAGGUAGUGAGUGAUCUCAAUUGAUUGUUCACAGUUACAGAUCAAACUCCUUGUUCUGCUCUUUCCCCCCUUUUCACUACUGCACUUGACUUGUCUUUA